AGAGUUUGAUCCUGGCUUAGGAUGAACGCUAGCGGCAGGCCUAACACAUGCAAGUCGCGGGGCAGCACGGGUAGCGAAUACCUGGUGGCGACCGGCGCACGGGUGCGUAACGCGUAUGCAACCUGCCCCCAGUCAGGGGAAUAGCCCGCCGAAAGGCGGAUUAAUGCCCCAUAGGACCCAGGGCGCUGCAUGGCGCUAUGGGUAAAGCUCCCGCGGAUGGGGAUGGGCAUGCGUGCCAUUAGCUAGUUGGGGCGGUAACGGCGCACCAAGGCGACGAUGGCUAGGGGGUCUGAGAGGAUGGUCCCCCACACUGGUACUGAGACACGGACCAGACUCCUACGGGAGGCAGCAGGUGAGGAAUAUUGGGUCAAUGGGCGGAAGCCUGAACCAGCCCCAUGCCGCGUGCAGGAUGACGGCCCUACGGGUUGUAAACUGCUUUUCCCCGGGAAGAAUAAGCCCCUCGGUGAGGGGUGAUGCCGGUACCGGGGGAAUAAGGAUCGGCUAACUCCGUGCCAGCCGCUGC
rnacentral:rRNA from 1 species